rnacentral:rRNA from 1 species
AUUUUGGACAAUGGGGUAAACCCUGAUCCAGCCAUCGCGCGUGUAUGAUGAAGGCCUUCGGGUUGUAAAGUACUCUUGGUAGAGAAGAAAAGGUACCUCCUAAUACGAGGUACUGCUGCCGGUAUCUGCAGAAUAAGCACCGGCUAACUCCGCGCCAGCAGCCGCGGUAAUACGUAGGGUGCAAGCGUUAAUCGGAAUUACUGGGCGUAAAGCGUGUGUAGGCGGUUCGGAAAGAAAGAUGUGGAAUCCCAGGGCUCAACCUUGGAAAUGCAUUUUUAACUGCCGAGCUAGAGUAUGUCAGAGGGGGGUAGAAUUCCACGUGUAGCAGUGAAAUGCGUAGAUAUGUGGAGAAAUACCGAUGGCGAAGGCAGCCCCCUGGGAUAAUACUGACGCUCAGACACGAAAGCGUGGGGAGCAAACAG